rnacentral:rRNA from 1 species
UCAAGUCAGCAUGGCCUUGAUGUCCAGGGCUACACACACGCUACAAUGGCCGGUACAAUGGGUCGCCAACCCGCGAGGGGGAGCCAAUCCAAGCAAAGCCGGUCUCAGUUCGGAUUGCAGGCUGCAACCCGCCUGCAUGAAGUCGGAGUUGCUAGUAACCGCCGGUCAGCCAUACGGCGGUGAAUACGUUCCCGGGCCUU